CCGGGUCUCCUGUAAGACACCCUUGCACGAUUGGUCUUCGGCGGACUUGGAAGGAUAGACACCCUACCAGCAGACUACCCUACCAAUCCACACAUGACAAAGAAAAAGACAGGACGAACUGGAUUUUUCACUCCAAAGGAUCUCACGGCGCUUUCCAUACUGUAUAGGAGACAACACGCAGCGCAGGCCAGGAGGAGGAGAGAGGUUUCAGGUGGAUUCAGAGGGAACUGUAGAGAGGACGGACUGCCCCAGACCACAGUGGGGUUUAACUUGGACAAUCUUUAAUGACCAAGUGAAGUCGGGGUGUAACCCCGGCGUCCUGGCCACAUUUUCCCCCUGGCCUUUACCAGUCAUGGCCUCUUAAUAACCCUCCUCUCUGAACUGGCUUCAUCACUCUGCUCUCCUCCCCACUGAGAGCUGGUGUGUGGGGAGCGGACCGGCACAUCAUCCAGAUGGGGGUACACACUGGUGCUGGUGGAGGGGAUCCCCGUAACCUAUAAAGCGCUCCGAGUGGAGUGUCCAGGAAAGCGCAAUAGAAGUGUAAGCAAUUAUUAAUUAUGAGGGUGGUCGGUUCUUCUUUUUUGAGACGCCUGGACCGGCUGGUGGCUGACGCCGGCGAGCUGUGACGCUGUGAUUCCCUGAUACCGUGACCUUCUGUGCGAAUUGUGUCCGGGGGCCGCGGACGAGGCGAUCCGCGCCCCCCUGCUCCCCCUUAGCCCGCUCCCCUUUGCAAACCUCCGCCGCGAAUCCGCGCUGAUUUAUGUCACUCGUCCCAACCUUAAAAUAAUCAGGAAUGAUGAGCACUUGGCUACCCGUUGCGAUGACAUUUCGGCGGGCACGGUGUCAGUGAAAUUAAACGUAAUUUUUACUGUGGUGCCAUCUGUCAGCAGCACGAACAUCUUUUUAUUCGCCGUGACAGGGAUUGAUUUUGAAGCUGUUCCUUCACCUCCUCGGAAGAGAACGAAUUGGAUGAUCUGCCUCGGGGGUAAGGUCACCCCCCUCGCUGUGAGGCGGAGUGACAGCGAUCCGUGCUGCAGCGGUUUUCAGAGAGACGCCGGAAGGCAGACGCAGAAAACUAACAUACGACUCUGCCGCGG
rnacentral:lncRNA from 1 species